AUGAACGCUGGCGGCGUGCUUAACACAUGCAAGUCGAACGAAGCAUCUGCCCGAGAAAUGGAGUGCUGCACAAAGUGGAUCAAUGAGAUGACUGAGUGGCGGACGGGUGAGUAACGCGUGGGAAACCUGCCCUAUACAGGGGGAUAACAGUUGGAAACGACUGCUAAUACCGCAUAAGCGCACGGAACCGCAUGGUUUUGUGUGAAAAAACUCCGGUGGUAUAGGGAUGGGUCCCGCGUCUGAUUAGCUAGUUGGUGAGGUAACGGCCCACCAAGGCGACGAUCAGUAGCCGACCUGAGAGGGUGACCGGCCACAUUGGGACUGAGACACGGCCCAAACUCCUACGGGAGGCAGCAGUGGGGAAUAUUGCACAAUGGGCGAAAGCCUGAUGCAGCCGACGCCGCGUGAGUGAAGAAGUAUUUCGGUAUGUAAAGCUCUAUCAGCAGGGAAGAUAAUGACGGUACCUGGCUAAGAAGCACCGGCUAAAUACGUGCCAGCCGCUGC
rnacentral:rRNA from 1 species